GCCAGGCAUGGUGGCAGGUGCCUGUAAUCCCAGCUACUUGGGAGGCUGAGACAGGAGAAUUGCUUGAAACCUGGAGGCAGAGGUUGCAGUGAGCCAAGAUUGGGCACUGCACUCCAGCCUGGGUAACAGAGCAAGACUCUGUCUCUA
rnacentral:SRP_RNA from 1 species